rnacentral:rRNA from 1 species
AUGAUGCGGGUGAACCUGUGGGCGGUGGCGGAGGUGACCGCCGCGGUGCUGCCGGGGAUGGUGGAGCGGGGCAGGGGCGCCGUCGUCAACAUGGGCUCAGCCUCGUCGGAGGCCAUCCCCUCCUUUCCCCUGCACACCAUGUACGCCGCCACCAAAAGGUAUGUUGCUCAGUUCUCCAGGAGCCUUUACGUUGAGUACAGAAGCAAAGGGAUCGAUGUGCAAUGCCAGGCUCCAUUCUACGUGGCGACCAGGAUGGUGUCAAGGCUGGCGGAGACCGGGCGGGCCGGGCGCCUCUCUAUGUUCCUCAUCGCGCCGACGCCCGACGCGUACGCGAGCGCGGCGGUGCGCUGGAUUGGCCACGGCCCGCCCCUCUGCGCUCCCAACCUUGGCCACCAGCUCCUGUGGUGCCUCGCCGCCGUCGUUCCGGACUUCGUCCACGAUUGGCUCCGCAUGCGCGAGCACCUGCAGCACAGAGCGCUGGCUCAGAGACCGCCGAAACGUCGCGCCGGCGUGCCAACAACUCUAAAGUGA